rnacentral:rRNA from 1 species
UACGGAGGGUGCAAGCGUUAAUCGGAAUUACUGGGCGUAAAGCGCGCGUAGGCGGCUGGAUAAGUCGAUUGUGAAAGCCCCGGGCUCAACCUGGGAAUUGCAGUCGAGACUGUUCGGCUAGAGUGUGGGAGAGGGCAGUGGAAUUCCCGGUGUAGCGGUGAAAUGCGUAGAUAUCGGGAAGAACACCAGUGGCGAAGGCGACU